GACGAACGCUGGCGGCGUGCUUAACACAUGCAAGUCGAACGGAAAGGCCCUGCUUUUGUGGGGUGCUCGAGUGGCGAACGGGUGAGUAACACGUGAGUAACCUGCCCUUGACUUUGGGAUAACUUCAGGAAACUGGGGCUAAUACCGGAUAGGAGCUCCUGCUGCAUGGUGGGGGUUGGAAAGUUUCGGCGGUUGGGGAUGGACUCGCGGGUUAUCAGCUUGUUGGUGGGGGAGUGGCUUACCAAGGCUUUGACGGGUAGCCGGCCUGAGAGGGUGACCGGCCACAUUGGGACUGAGAUACGGCCCAGACUCCUACGGGAGGCAGCAGUGGGGAAUAUUGCACAAUGGGCGGAAGCCUGAUGCAGCAACGCCGCGUGCGGGAUGACGGCCUUCGGGUUGUAAACCGCUUUCGCCUGUAACGAAGCGUGAGUGACGGUAAUGGGUAAAGAAGCACCGGCUAACUACGUG
rnacentral:rRNA from 1 species